rnacentral:rRNA from 1 species
ACUUUUCUUAAUAAUAGAAUAGUAGUUUAUUCUGGAUAAAUAUUGAUAAUGACAAAUUUUAUCUAUAAGACUCGACUAAUGCUCGUGCCAGCAGUCGCGGCAAAACGAGUGAGUCUAGUAUUAGUCAUCUUUAUUAGGUAUAAAGGGUACCUAGACAUCAUAUACAAGUUAAGCUUACAAAUAUGAUAGAGUUUUUAUGUAAGAGGUUUAAAUAGUACUAUUAGAGGAGAGUAAUAAUUCAAUUAUACUAAUAUGGACUGGUAAAAGUGUAGACAAUCCUUUAUGUAUAAACUGACGUUGAGGGACGAAGGCUUGAAUAUAACGAAAAGGAUUAGAGACCCUUGUAGUUCAAGGAGAAAAAGAUGGAUGCCAUACAUAGGAAAAUAUAUCUGUGUAUAAAUGAAAGUGCAAGCAUCCCACCUCAUGAGUAUAGCGGCAACGCCGAAAUUGAAACCAUUAGACCGUAUUUGAAAUCAGUAGUGAAGUACGAUAUUUAAUUCGAUGAUCCACGAAAAAUCUUACCAAAAUUUGAAUAGUUUAUGUUAUAAUUUAUUAUGAUAUUUACAAGUGUUGCACGGCUGUUUCCAGCUGAUGUCCUGAGAAAAAAAGCAUCUACACCAGGUAUUACUCAUACCCGUAGAUUAUUAAUCAGUUAAAUUCCUUUACGUUUAUUUAUUAUUAAUAAGUUUUAUUAUUUCAACAGAAAUAAUCGCUAAUUUAUAUUACAUAAUUGUAAUGUAGAUUAUUUAUAAGCAAA